GUGUAAGAAAUCACAUUAUUUAGUGCAGUUGUUUUCUGAUCACUUUAAUAAAGUAAUGUACACUUUGAGAAUUAUUUUUUUCUAGACAAAGUAAGUUAACUCUAUUUGUAUCCAAUACACUAGUGUCCAGAAAACAGAAGUAGAUUUCCAGUAGCUUCAAAUCUACUGCGAAAUGAAUCUCUGUGGAGUCCAAAAUCUUACAGAACGCGUUCUUAAUGUCCGAAGUCUUAAAUGCAAUGGCUGCUGCUAAUGUGCUAUGAGAAAAAAACAGCAACCUGUUUCAGAUACUAAAUUUUACCAAAUUAUGUAGAACUUAAAGGUAUUUCAAAUUGUCAAAUUUCACUGUCUAUGAGAGGAAUGUCUGAAUAGUUUCCUCUUGAUAUAGUUGCCACAGGGAUACCCUCCUAGCUUAUUCCUAAAUCCUUCAUCAGCUUAGGGCCCUUACAUUGUAUCUUUUAGGGGGAAAAG